rnacentral:rRNA from 1 species
GACGAACGCUGGCGGCGUGCCUAAUACAUGCAAGUCGAACGAGAGCAACCGGUGCUUGCACUGGUCAAUCUAGUGGCGAACGGGUGAGUAACACGUGGGUAACCUGCCCAUCAGAGGGGGAUAACAUCCGGAAACGGAUGCUAAAACCGCAUAGGUCUUCGAACCGCAUGGUUUGAAGAGGAAAAGAGGCGCAAGCUUCUGCUGAUGGAUGGACCCGCGGUGCAUUAGCUAGUUGGUGAGGUAACGGCUCACCAAGGCCGUGAUGCAUAGCAGACCUGAGAGGGUGAUCGGCCACAUUGGGACUGAGACACGGCCCAAACUCCUACGGGAGGCAGCAGUAGGGAAUCUUCCGCAAUGGACGCAAGUCUGACGGAGCAACGCCGCGUGAGUGAAGAAGGUUUUCGGAUCGUAAAACUCUGUUGUUAGAGAAGAACAAGUGCUAGAGUAACUGUUAGCGCCUUGACGGUAUCUAACCAGAAAGCCACGGCUAACUACGUG